UCUUAAGGAUAAGCAAAGAAAGUGGUUUCUUGAGAUGGAAACUACUCCUUUUGAAGAUGCUAUGUA
rnacentral:pre_miRNA from 1 species